CCAGCCUGGACGACAGAGCGAGACUCAGUCUCAAAAACAAAAACAAAAACAAAAACAAAACAAAACAAAAACUAACUGUGGUAGUCAUUAGUGCUGUUCACCAAAUAUUUCUGGCCUGUUGGAUGGAACCAUUUGAUUACUUCUGGCCUGUGAGCUAUGAGUGGAAAAAGGCAUCUAAAUGUUAAUUCCAGACCUUCCACAGCUCUUUUCCCUCUGCACAGGGACCAGCAAUACUGAGAAGAUGCUGCUCAUCAGCCCAUGUCCCCAAGCAGUCACAACAAGCACAGUUCCCUGCUGAAGCACAGCACCUCUGCAAAAAAGAAUUACUAAGAACAGACUGAAUUACCUCUGAAGAAAAAAUGAAAAGACACUGCGCAAGAUUUUAAUAAAGAGAGGAAAGCAUCCAAAAAGGGCUUUCUCUGGCCUAAAGAGUCCAUUUUGCCUACUGUCAUAGGACUUGAAAAUGAUCAUUCCCCACUCCCCAGCAAGACACAAGCAGGGGUAAGUGACUGGCAUAUAAAUAUCCCACGCCCUCAACCCUCAGUGAGGAAAACUCUGCAGCGUGUGUCCUAUACUGGCUCCCAGGGUUCCCCUGCGGCCUCUAACUCCAUUCCCACAGUAGUAACCUGCCUGAUAAUGAGCUAUUUGUGGCUUGCCUUUCCUUACCAUCUCACUUCCCCACUCCCCUGUGAGUGCUUCCUGGGAUCAUUUCCCAAAGGAAGUACUUUCACUGGAUCCUUGACUCAGCAUCUGUUCUGGGGAAUGCAAAGCAAGACACUGACUGCAGACAUAUAUAUGCCUACUUAGUUUUAGUAAAAUAUUUUAAGGGCCAGGGGCAGGGGCUCAUGCCUGUAAUCUCAGCACUUAGGGAGGCUGA
rnacentral:lncRNA from 1 species